UACAGAGGGGGCAAGCGUUGUUCGGAAUUACUGGGCGUAAAGGGCGCGUAGGCGGCCUGUUAAGUCGAACGUGAAAUCCCCGGGCUCAACCCGGGAACUGCGUCCGAUACUGGCAGGCUUGAAUCCGGGAGAGGGAUGCGGAAUUCCAGGUGUAGCGGUGAAAUGCGUAGAUAUCUGGAGGAACACCGGUGGCGAAGGCGGCAUCCUGGACCGGUAUUGACGCUGAGGCGCGAAAGCCAGGGGAGCGAACAGG
rnacentral:rRNA from 1 species